rnacentral:rRNA from 1 species
AUACAAUUUAACCCUGGUUGAAGUUGAAAUAUAUCUAAUGAUGCUAUAUACGUUUAUUAUAUUAUGCUAAUCCUUGAGCAUAUAAAUUUGAGGUGGUUGUAGUAGUGAGAUCUAUCGUUAUAAAGAAAUUUAGUGAUGGUUGUUAGAUAGUAGAAGAGGCUAAAGCACAGUGCCAGCAGCCGCGGUUAUACUGUAAUUCUUCUUAUUUCUUUUUUGGUUAAAACUUUUAUUGAAAUUUAAAUAAAAUUGGUUGGUUAAAUAGGUUUUUUUUUGAGAAUACUUCAAUGAUGUGUAAAGUUCCAGUAUAAAGACAGGGAUUAGAUACCCCUUUAUUAGGAUAAAAAAUUUUUGUCCACGGUUUCAAACUGAAAGGGUUUGGCAGCAAACUAAAUUCUUCCGGGGGAAGGUGCUUAUUAAAGAGAUGAUCCGCUUAUUAAUUUACUAUAUCUAGUGUUAGUGUAUAUCCGUUUGUAUAUUCACGCUUAGAGGUCAUAAGUGGGUAAAUAUUAAAUAAUU